UUCAAAGAGGUAACUAGCUCUGGGC
rnacentral:piRNA from 1 species